rnacentral:tRNA from 1 species
GCGCUUAUGGCGGAAUUGGUAGACGCGCCAGAUUCAGGAUCUGGUUGGACUCUUCUUGUGCAGGUUCAAGUCCUGCUAAGCGC